rnacentral:misc_RNA from 1 species
ACACGAUCAACUCUAGUUAGAGUUGGGAUUGACCUCAUGCGCUGUUUAUAGCAGCAUUUGGUUUGAAUGAAUCAAGUUGAUGGGUUCCCCAGCAAUGCUCAAUGUGUGCUAGCGAGACAGUCGUCCCGAUCUCACAUUAGUGGUUUUGUUGCAGAGCUUUAAUCACGGCUUGUUAAUUAUCAUAUAUCUA